UCUGCCUUAUCGGCAAGCGGUCUCACUAGAGUGCCCAACUUAAUGCUGGCAACUAAUGACAAGGGUUGCGCUCGUUGCGGGACUUAACCCAACAUCUCACGACACGAGCUGACGACAGCCAUGCAGCACCUGUCUUGGCGUCCCCGAAGGGAACUCCGACUUUCACCGGAUUGCACCAGAUGUCAAGCCCAGGUAAGGUUUUUCGCGUUGCAUCGAAUUAAACCACAUACUCCACCGCUUGUGCGGGCCCCCGUCAAUUUCUUUGAGUUUUAAUCUUGCGACCGUACUCCCCAGGCGGAUAACUUAAUGCGUUAGCUGCGCCACCAAAAGCCCAUGGCCCCUGACAGCUAGUUAUCAUCGUUUACGGCGUGGACUAC
rnacentral:misc_RNA from 1 species